ACACAUGCAGUCGAGCGGUUGACGGGAGCUUGCUCCCUGAUUCAGCGGCGGACGGGUGAGUAAUGCCUAGGAAUCUGCCUAUUAGUGGGGGACAACGUUUCGAAAGGAACGCUAAUACCGCAUACGUCCUACGGGAGAAAGCAGGGGACCUUCGGGCCUUGCGCUAAUAGAUGAGCCUAGGUCGGAUUAGCUAGUUGGUGAGGUAAUGGCUCACCAAGGCGACGAUCCGUAACUGGUCUGAGAGGAUGAUCAGUCACACUGGAACUGAGACACGGUCCAGACUCCUACGGGAGGCAGCAGUGGGGAAUAUUGGACAAUGGGCGAAAGCCUGAUCCAGCCAUGCCGCGUGUGUGAAGAAGGUCUUCGGAUUGUAAAGCACUUUAAGUUGGGAGGAAGGGUUGUAGAUUAAUACUCUGCAAUUUUGACGUUACCGACAGAAUAAGCACCGGCUAACUCUGUGCCAGCAGCCGCGGUAAUACAGAGGGUGCAAGCGUUAAUCGGAAUUACUGGGCGUAAAGCGCGCGUAGGUGGUUUGUUAAGUUGGAUGUGAAAGCCCCGGGCUCAACCUGGGAACUGCAUCCAAAACUGGCAAGCUAGAGUACGGUAGAGGGUGGUGGAAUUUCCUGUGUAGCGGUGAAAUGCGUAGAUAUAGGAAGGAACACCAGUGGCGAAGGCGACCACCUGGACUGAUACUGACACUGAGGUGCGAAAGCGUGGGGAGCAAACAGGAUUAGAUACCCUGGUAGUCCACGCCGUAAACGAUGUCAACUAGCCGUUGGAAUCCUUGAGAUUUUAGUGGCGCAGCUAACGCAUUAAGUUGACCGCCUGGGGAGUACGGCC
rnacentral:rRNA from 1 species